GGGGAGCUAGGAGAAAAGAGGAAGCUGGUGCAGGAAGACUGGCUCCUGAGAAAGAGAGGAGAUGGAAAAGGAAUCCUGGCCUGAGACCGAGCUUACCUGGGUUCUGAUCUGGCUCUGUUGCUAGAUGUGCCACUAGCUUCUGGAUCUUCCUGUGUCCAUCUGCAAAAGGCAGAUUAAAGGCCAGGACUCAUCCUACUCUGAAAUUUGGCCAAGUGACCACCUUGUCCCACACUCAAGUAUAGACUCUCAAGACCUUAACCUUAUGAUGACAAGAAGAGGCAAAUAAAGGAAAAGAGUCUCACUUCAUCACCCAGGCUAGAGUGCAGUGGCUCAAUCUCAGCUCACAGCAACUUCUGCAUCCCGGGUUCAAGCAAUUCUUGUGCCUCAGUCUCCCAAAGUAGCUGGAAUUACAGCUGUGCACCACCACACCCAGUUAAUUUUCUUUUCUUGUAUUUUUAGUAGAGAUAGGGUUUAGCCAAGUUGGCCAGGCUGCUCUCAAACUCCUGACCUCAAGUGAUCCACCCGCCUCGGCCUCCCAAAUUGGUGGGAUUCCAGGCAUGAGCCACCGCACCAGGACCAAUAUUACUUUUCUUCAGGACCCAUCCUUCACCCCCACCAGAACACAUUAUAAAUGAAUAAUUAUUCCAUUAUGUUAAUUGAAACACAUAUAUAAAGAGGUAAGGCCCUGUUUUGGGUUCUUGUUUAGGACAGUAAACAUACACUAAUUGGCCUCCCCAGCAAUUGUGUUUAGCAUGAGGAACAGGUAAUAAACAUAAAUAAAUAAAUGACAUAGUGUAUCAGCAGGUGGUAAAUGCUAUAGAUGAACAGAAGUAGAUAUGACAUUUAAAGAACUUGGAAAUUAUCAUUCCUGUCAUCGUAGUAAAAUUACUUCUGAAUACACUGAAAAUCACCUUUUCUUGGAUCAAUCAAAUAACUGAGGUUACAGGGCAAAUACCAUCCUGAAAACUGCAGAGGCAGGCAAAUAUAAUGGAUUCUAGCCAAUAUCUUCUUGCUUUAAGUAGAAGCCACAGAAACCAUAUACUGGUAGAAACAGACAUGAGAAUUAUGAAGAACUUUUGGAGGCUAAGUGUGGUCUGGCUUGAGGGUGAGAAACUGAUAGGGUGGCAUUUUUAAGUAGGGCCCCAUCCCUUUUUGGGGAACCCCCUAUCAGAUAAUCACAAAGAAGAGCCAACAAAUACCUCCUCCUGAUUCUGGCACAGAGAGGGAAAGAAUAACCUUUGUGAAAUAAUCCCAGAAUAUUCUCUGUAAAUAAGUUUACUCUUCAAGGGAAAGACUUUGCCAGAAGCUUAGUUCAUCUGUGAAAGCACAUUUACUUGACGCUAGCUACCUCCAGCCUUUCUGGAUUACCUACAGGGAGGAAAAAAAAAAGGUAAAAAACAAUUGUGAAGGUCACAGUCCAGAAGAAACUAAAGCAACUAGAAGAAGAGGGAACAUGAUGUUUAACUUACCCUUAGGCUUUCUUAUGUAGUGAGAAGAAAGCAUCAAAAAAAAAAAAAAUCAAAGUGGAGGCCUGUUUUCUGACUCAUCCUGUUGCAAGAGACAGGAACCAGAAGAGAGAGCUGUGCAUGUGAGUUUGAUCUUUCAAUGCCCAGUGACCCCAUCAAAUGGUAAACAUGGACAGACAGAUAUCAUGGGAAUUAACUUAUUCGGGUAAGUAUUCUCUGCUCUUCAGGAGGUGUAGAAAGGUGAUGAAGAGAGCAACAGAAUCUUAUACUUACAAUCAGUGUCAUGGUAUGGGUAAUCUCAAUGUUUGGGGAAAGGGGAUGGGUAGUUCAAGAAAGACUAUCAAGAAGGAAUGCCUUAGCCUAGUCUUCAAGGGUGAGAGGAACUUGAUAAAGAAUGGGAAGGAGGACAGAAGGGCAUUCUGGACAGAGCAAGGCUCAUGAAAACAGACUUGGAGGGAAGAGAGAAAAAGUCCUGUUUAGUAGAUUGUAAGGAACUCAAUGCAACUGGAAUAUUGAAUGUCAUGAAGGGAGUGGAGGAGAUCAGAAAAUGAAGUUGAGGCAGGAGGCAUGGGCCAAAUAAUAUAGUAUAUUGUAUGUAUGGGAGAAGGACUCAGACUUUACCAGCAGCAAUGAAAAAACCAUUGAAAGGGAAUAGCAUCAUCAGAUUUCUAUUUUAAGAAGAUGAUUUAAGUUAAUGUACAGAGAAUGGAUUGUAGGAGAUGGUAGUGGGUGUCAUGAUGAUAUCCCAGUUACCCUGAUUUGAUCAUUACACAGUCUAUACGUGUAUCGAAUAUCACAUGUACCCCAGAAAUAUGGACAACCAUGAAGUAUCAACAACAGCAACAACAAAUAUCAGGAACACCAAAUAGAAGUUCCAGUGCCUUGCAUGAAUCUAAAUGAGGAAGGAUAAUGGUCUGAACAUCAUUAUAGCAAUGGCGUGUACAAGACUGGGUGAAUCUGGGAAAGAACCAAGAGGUAGAAUCUGUUGGUAUUGAUUAGAUGAGGCAGAUGGAGGGGAGAAGAGGGAUUCAAUGAUGAUCCCAGGAAUAUAUAUCCCCAGCCAGAUAUAUAUCUCCAAUACCAACAGUGCCUUUGUAAAAUGGUGUCUUGGCCGGGCGCGGUGGCUCGUGCCUAUAAUCCAAGCACUUUGGGAGGCUGAGGUGGGUGGAUCAUGAGGUUAAGAGAUUGAGACCAUCCUGGCCAACAUGGUGAAACCCCGUCUCUACUGAAAAUACCAAAAUUAGCCGGGCGUGGUGGCAGGUGCCUGUAGUCCCAGCUACUCGGGAGAAUGAGGCCGGAGAAUCGGUUGAACCUGGGAGGCGGAGGUUGCAGUGAGCCG
ensembl:lncRNA novel transcript, antisense to SLITRK2